rnacentral:pre_miRNA from 1 species
UGGGUCUUUGCGGGCGAGAUGAAGGUGUCGGUUCAACUGGCCUACAAAGUCCCAGU